GAUGAACGCUGGCGGCGUGCCUAAUACAUGCAAGUCGAGCGAACAGACGAGGAGCUUGCUCCUCUGACGUUAGCGGCGGACGGGUGAGUAACACGUGGAUAACCUACCUAUAAGACUGGGAUAACUUCGGGAAACCGGAGCUAAUACCGGAUAACAUUUUGAACCGCAUGGUUCAACAGUGAAAGACGGUCUUGCUGUCACUUAUAGAUGGAUCCGCGCCGCAUUAGCUAGUUGGUAAGGUAACGGCUUACCAAGGCAACGAUGCGUAGCCGACCUGAGAGGGUGAUCGGCCACACUGGAACUGAGACACGGUCCAGACUCCUAAGGGAGGCAGCAGUAGGGAAUCUUCCGCAAUGGGCGAAAGCCUGACGGAGCAACGCCGCGUGAGUGAAGAAGGUCUUCGGAUCGUAAAACUCUGUUAUUAGGGAAGAACAAAUGUGUAAGUAACUAUGCACGUCUUGACGGUACCUAAUCAGAAAGCCACGGCUAACUACGUG
rnacentral:rRNA from 1 species